GUACUCAUUUUGGCAGGACAUAUACUAAAACUGGAACAACACAGAGAAGAUUAGCAUAGCCCGUGGGCAAAGAAGAUGUACAAAUCCAUGAAGCUUUCCAUAAAAAA